rnacentral:lncRNA from 10 species
AUUUGGAGAAAAGAAUCAGGAAGAAAUAAAGAAAAGGAUGAUGAAAGGAUUGGAGAUAAGUUAUGUGAAACAACCGAACUACAGUCUGUGAGAUACAAAAAAAAUUGGCCAAAGCGGGACUGAUACUGAGAAGUGGUCUGCCAAGCAUGGACUAGCGUGAAACUGUAGAGUAAACAUCCCAAAUGAAAGUUGGCCGAAAGAUACAGAAGCAAGCUAAUGAACCUAGCUGAAACUGAACAAGAGAAACACAUUAGCCUUGCUUUCCUGGUCUGAGAG